UAGGGAAUAUUGCGCAAUGGGGGAAACCCUGACGCAGCGACGCCGCGUGAGUGAUGAAGGACUUAGGUUUGUAAAGCUCUGUUCUCAGGGAAUAAAAAAAUGAAGGUACCUGAGGAGAAAGGACCGGCUAACUUCGUGCCAGCAGCCGCGGUAAGACGAGGGGUCCUAGCGUUGCUCGGAAUCAUUGGGCGUAAAGCGGGUGUAGGUGGUUAACUAAGUCAGGAGUGAAAGCCCUGGGCUCAACCCGGGAAGUGCUUUUGAAACUGGUUAACUUGAGUGUGGGAGAGGAUAGUAGAAUUCCUGGUGUAGUGGUGAAAUACAUAGAUAUCAGGAGGAAUUCCAGUGGGGAAGCCGGCUAUCUGGCCCAACACUGACACUCAGACCCGAAAGCGUGGGGAUCAAACAGGAUUAGAUACCCCCGUAGUCCC
rnacentral:rRNA from 1 species